UACGAAGGGGGCUAGCGUUGCUCGGAAUCACUGGGCGUAAAGGGCGCGUAGGCGGCGCGGGCAGUCAACGGUGAAAGCUCGGAGCUCAACUCCGAGUCGGCCGUCGAUACUCCCGUGCUUGAGCACUGUAGAGGCAGAUGGAAUUCCGGGUGUAGCGGUGGAAUGCGUAGAGAUCCGGAAGAACACCGGUGGCGAAGGCGGUCUGCUGGGCAGUAGCUGACGCUGAUGCGCGACAGCGUGGGGAGCAAACAGG
rnacentral:rRNA from 1 species